GGAGAAGCGUUUUCCGCGUUGGACCGUGUACAAGUUUCCUGGAACGGAGCGUCAUAGAGGGUGAGAAUCCCGUCUUUGACACGGAUCCCAAUGCUUUGUGAUGCGCUCUCAAAGAGUCGAGUUGUUUGGGAAUGCAGCUCAAAAUGGGUGGUGAAUUCCAUCUAAAGCUAAAUAUUGGCGAGAGACCGAUAGCGAACAAGUACCGUGAGGGAAAGAUGAAAAGCACUUUGGAAAGAGAGUUAAACAGUACGUGAAAUUGUUGAAAGGGAAACGCUUGAAGUCAGUCGCGUCGGCCGGGACUCAGCCUUGCAUCCGCUUGGUGUACUUUCCGGUCGACGGGCCAGCAUCAGUUUCGACCACGAGAUAAAGGCGGAGGGAAUGUGGCUCUCUCGGGAGUGUUAUAGCCCUUCGUCAGAUGUCGCGGUUGGGACUGAGGAACUCAGCACGCCUUUAUGGCCGGGGCUCGCCCACGUACGUGCUUAGGAUGCUGGCGUAAUGGCUUUAAACGACCCGUCUUGAAACACGGACCAAGGAGUCUAACAUGCCUGCGAGUGUUCGGGUGGAAAACCCGUGCGCGCAAUGAAAGUGAAAGUUGGGAUCCCUGUCGUGGGGUGCACCGACGCCCGGCCCAGACCUUUUGUGACGGAGCUGCGGUAGAGCAUGUAUGUUGGGACCCGAAAGAUGGUGAACUAUGCCUGAAUAGGGUGAAGCCAGAGGAAACUCU
rnacentral:rRNA from 1 species